rnacentral:misc_RNA from 1 species
GAUGAAGAACGCAGCGAAAUGCGAUAAGUAAUGUGAAUUGCAGAAUUCAGUGAAUCAUCGAAUCUUUGAACGCACAUUGCGCCCGCCAGUAUUCUGGCGGGCAUGCCUGUUCGAGCGUCAUUACAACCCUCAGGCCCCCGGGCCUGGCGUUGGGGAUCGGCGGAAGCCCCCUGCGGGCACAACGCCGUCCCCCAAAUACAGUGGCGGUCCCGCCGCAGCUUCCAUUGCGUAGUAGCUAACACCUCGCAACUGGAGAGCGGCGCGGCCACGCCGUAAAACACCCAACUUCUGAAUGUUGACCUCGAAUCAGGUAGGAAUACCCGCUGGACUUAAGCAUAUCAAUAAGCGAGGA